rnacentral:lncRNA from 1 species
AGUCCUUCCUUUUGCUUGCUUUUGCAAGCCCAGAACUGAUGUUAUAGUAAAUGGUUAAGAAAUGGUUAUUUAUUUGUUGCUUUGAUCACCUUCCUAAACUCUGAAAGUCUUCUCAGAAAUGAUCUGGGGCAAGUUCCAGGUCAUGAGGUUUUGAUCCCUUUUACCAAGAAGGGAUGAAAUGACGAGGCAGAGUGUAUAGAACUGGAGUUCUUCUGACCAUGGAUGAAGAGUCAGACUGAGUCAUUCCCAAGGCCAUGUCUGCCCUAGUAGUUACACUUAAAAGGACCAUCUAAGUUUUCUGCAUCACACUGUCUAUUCUGUUAUGUAACUGUCGUUAAUGGCUUAAAUAAUCUUCUUUGCAAUUAUUGCAAAUUUUGUAAUAUUUUGCAAGUAUUGCAAAUAUGCUUUUGCAAUAUUUUGCAAAUAUUGCAAAUAUGCUUUUGCAAUAAGGUAAAAAGAGGGGUUAUUUAUAAGCCACCUAACUUUUCUGUUUGCUCUUUCAUAUCUUGGGACCAGUCAAAGAAGAUAGUUUCAACUUCCAACCUUUCAUCUCUAAGGGAAUUUGAUCUGGUCAUGAAAUUACUUGAUCUCCAUAUAUUACCCCAAAAUGGAAGUGCAGGGACUACUUCUGAACCAAUCCCAUUAUUUAUGGGCCCAGGAGCUUUGACCUGUUAACACUCCCAAAACUGGCUGGAUCAUCACAUCUGAGAAAACCUAGUAGCCCUCCCACCUGGGGAGGGGGAGAAUGUGGGAGAAGGGACCACCAUAUUAAUUAAUGGUGAAUUUUGUCUGCAUAUCAAUGCUCAGAAUUCCUGCACUCAAGAGAUCCUUCAGGUUCUGCCUCCCCAGGACUGCGAAUAAUAAUCAUCUUCCAUUGUUUCUGGCUCUAAUGUCCUUUCAAGUUUUACAUCCUAUAUACUCCUGAAAGAUUAAAGAUGGAGAGCUGAAAAGGAAAGAAGAGGUCAUCCAGUCCAACUCUGCAUUUUACAGAAAAAGAAACUAAAGCAAGGAAAAUUUAACAGAUUGCCCAAGUCAAAGGAAGAAAAUAAAUGGCAGAGCUGUGGUUCA